GCCCAGAUUGCUCAGUCAGUAGAGCAUAAGACUUUUAAUCUAAUGGUCCAGUGUUCAAUUCCUUGUUUGGGCG
rnacentral:tRNA from 1 species